AUAGCGCACACAGGGUUUUUGGCAGUGCCAGCAGUUUUUCAGUGCCCUGCGCUGGCAGCAAAAUGCGACUGUGAAGCCAGGGGGACAGAGGACGGGCCAGGGUUGGGCCAGGGAGACUUGAGGCCCGAAGGGCAAGAAACCAAGUCCAGACUGGAGGGAAGGGGUCUGGGGUAGCAGGGUAGGCACAGCGUGAGCAGGAGAGGUCUGAGGGCACAGAAUCUGGCAGACCAGGGCAGGCUUCAAGAGCCCAGCCUGGCCCCAGGCACUUCCGGGAGCCUCGGUCAUAUCUAGCCAACUUCGGCGUGGACCUGGCUGGAGGAGGUGUCAGGUCCCUGGCACUGUGAGGAUUACGAGACCCUACAGCAGUUAAUGAUUCCUGAGGCUGGACCCCUGCCCCUCUGGACUUCUCUCCCAGCCAGGCAGGACACCCAACCUCUCCCCUGUGCUAGGGGCAGUCAAGGAACUCUGGCUGGACAAGGAGCUCCCAGAGCAACAGGCACUCGGGCAGAGGCUGUCCUGGAUCUGCACUGGGCUUCAGAACGGGAAGGGGAGCAUGCCCUGAGAAUUGGGGAGACGUGGUGAAAGCCUGGGUCCCUCACUGAUCAGGAACACGCAGAUCCAGAGACCCACUUCCCACUCAGAGCCCUCAAAGGCCUGGCAAAGCCAACUGCAGUACAUUUGGGGUUAAAGGGGGACUUUCUGUAAUCCCAGCACUUGAGAGGCUGGGGCAGGAGGACCACAAGUUAGAGUCUAGCCUGGACAAAUUAGUGACUUAGCAAGAUCCUGUCUCUAAAUAAAAAACAUAAAAGUGCUGGGGAUGUAUUCCAGGGCAAAGGCCCUGGGUUCAAUUCUCAGUACCAAAAAAAGUAUGUGUGUGACUCUCUACAGCCUUGAAAACUGACUGCUCCAGGGUCAGUGGGCCCCAAAAGCCAAAGGCUCUUUCUAGGGAGGGUUGAGCCCCACCCUGGCCCACCUGGGAAAGCACCCCAAUCUCUGAACCAGAACUUCUGGACUGCGGGGUCUGGCAGUCAGGCUCUCCAGUUACUAAGGGACAUGCAAGUGGAGGCUGGUUCACCCACUGGCGGUGGGUGGGUCUGUGUGGCAUGGGGGUGGGAGGUGUCCUCUGGUAGGGACCAGGACCCCAGACCUUGUGAGUUGUGCUGUGAAGGGGAAUCGGGGUAAGCUCCAUCCUGGGAUUCGGGCAACA
rnacentral:lncRNA from 1 species